rnacentral:rRNA from 1 species
AACGAACGCUGGCGGCAUGCCUAACACAUGCCAGUCGAACGAGACCUUCGGGUCUAGUGGCGCACGGGUGCGUAACGCGUGGGAACCUGCCCUUAGGUUCGGAAUAACUCCCCGAAAGGGGUGCUAAUACCGGAUAAUGUCUUCGGACCAAAGAUUUAUCGCCUUUGGAUGGGCCCGCGUUGGAUUAGCUAGUUGGUAGGGUAAAAGCCUACCAAGGCGACGAUCCAUAGCUGGUCUGAGAGGAUGAUCAGCCACACUGGGACUGAGACACGGCCCAGACUCCGACGGGAGGCAGCAGGGGGGAAUAUUGGACAAUGGGCGAAAGCCUGAUCCAGCAAGGCCGCGUGAGUGAUGAAGGCCUUAGGGUUGUAAAGCUCUUUUACCCGGGAUGAUAAUGACAGAACCGGGAGAAUAAGCUCCGGCUAACUCCGU